rnacentral:tRNA from 1 species
GCCCGAGUACGCUAAUUGGCAGUGCGAGUAGAUUUAGGAUCUACUGGUUGUGAGUUCGAAUCUCACCUCGGGUACCA